rnacentral:lncRNA from 1 species
CGUAUCUAGACAUACCCGGAGUUCUUGACUGAACUGAAAGCUCCACGAAAAUGGAGAACGCCUGGAUCGCGCAGUCAAAAAGCAGAGGAGAGCGGGAGAGUUAGACAGCAAAGAUGGCCGAAACAGCCGUUAGGGAGAGAGGUGCGCGGACUGGAUGCAUCGGGCACGAAUAACACUGCUCAUCAGUCAAAGAAACGGCCCCCUGGAAAGCGCUGCAUAGAUUGAGAACUCGCGCAGUUCUCCACGGCACACGGAUUGUCUGUCGUUCCUAGCAACAUCGCUGCCAACCUCAACUAGCAAAGCAUCCGCCUCUUUAGAACCUACGGAGAAGUGAGCCCCAAGCCUGCCUCAUGUUUUCGCGCACUCCUUAGCUGCGGUCUGUGUGCAGCAGGAAAAAAGUCCCGACGACUCGUGGGGCUUUCUGCGUCUGCAUUGUAGCGAAGACAAGGAGCAAGGACGCUCGAGAUGAGCCUGAGACCUGUCCGCUCCCUGGUUCACCCAGCGCCGUUUUUGGCGUCGCUAAACGGUGGUCGACAAGGGGCCAGCCGACGGCGACCACACUCGGCGAACGAGCUGAGAAACGAUCUUCUUCCAGAGACGAAGUUCGGGUCUUAUCUUCUAAGGGGAAUGUGUCUCGCGAGGACUGUGAAACAAGCGGCCUGUCGCGUGCUGGCCGGUUUCCGAGUAGAACUACUCGAGCGGGAGCUGGCUCAGCAUGAGGCGGAAGCGACACCGGAAACAAUUAUAUCUUUCCAUGAGGGAGGCUUUUACGAAACUACCCCUGUACGAGUGUGUGUCUGUGAAACAAAACACCUGUACAGGAAACGCCGCCAUUUUUACAGCGAACCCCCCCCCCCCCCCCUUGUGAGGUGGACGCAGCUUUUUUUGACCCUGUUUCACGGACCCUCUCCGUAAAAUACACAGCCGCUUCGAGCUGUACAUUGUGGGGCGACUUCGCUUCCGAUCUAUCUGCUUAGAUUUUGUUCACUGCUUAUUGUCUGCGCCGCAGCUGCCGAACACAUCUAUCAUCAAUGUGUUGGAGACAUAAGCAGUUGCUAGCGGCGUGCGACCCUUAUUGCCUUGCUCCCAACACUUGUAAUCGCGGUUCCGAGGAAAAGAGUCGUUCGCUAAGAAGACGGCUUCCUCGUAGCGUCUUUUUCCACCUGUGAAACACUGCGUACUCGCUACAUCUUCAACCAGUAGGCCUGCUUCUCUGUUUUUCAAGGGAGCAGGUCUAUUUUACUGCAGGUGGCAGAGAGGGCACCGUUAACCAGCUCAUCUCAGUCAUGGUCGCGAUGCAAAAUGAACCCCUCCAAAGCCAACAGACGAUUGUUUUUCCCGCAGAAAUCGGACACGAUACUCGUAUGCACGAAACACAGGUCGUCCGCGGAUACCGAGAAGCAUCCCCUCCACCAAGAAACAGUAUCAGGCAACUCCAAGAAAAGAGAACAGUGAAAAAGUCCCGUCUCAAUUGGAGUUGUUCACCUGUAUAUAGAAAUAAUUGAACGGCUCACAUCUUCUUCUUUUCACGCCAGUCAGACGCGAAGGUCUCGCGCACCGCGGGGGGUGUCGGCGCGCUGUUCCGGGCCACGUGUUGUGCUGAGGUAUGCUUGCUCCCCAAGAUGAAAGACUUGCAGAGGAUAACACAGAGAAUACCCACCAACAAUAAAGCUCCGCAACCGGCGUAGAGAAGCCAGUCACAUUCAGGCUGGCCUUCAUUUGGAAUAGGCACUCUCUGAUGUGCAGCCCUGCCGGAGCUGCUGGCGGGCCCCCCUCGGUCUGCUGUGGCGCCUUCUUGUACACUGACAGCACGAGAUGGUGCACCAGAAGUGGAGGGCGUGUGCAUGGGCAGUGCGUGUAGGGGCGCUCCAAUUGAACGAACCGGUUCGCGUGCUUGUUCUUUGUCCCGAUGGGCGGUUUUCUCUUGCUCAAAAAGGAUUGCAGCUGUUGCAGCAUCAAUCUCUUCUACUCUGUGUGCGUCCAACCUUUCGUGAAGGCGCUGAAUGGCUGAGACAUUCUUCAUUCUGUAAACGCCUUUAUCAUUCACAGCGAUAGCUCCUC